rnacentral:rRNA from 1 species
AGCGAACGCUGGCGGCAGGCUUAACACAUGCAAGUCGAGCGGGCAUAGCAAUAUGUCAGCGGCAGACGGGUGAGUAACGCGUGGGAACGUACCUUUUGGUUCGGAACAACACAGGGAAACUUGUGCUAAUACCGGAUAAGCCCUUACGGGGAAAGAUUUAUCGCCGAAAGAUCGGCCCGCGUCUGAUUAGCUAGUUGGUGAGGUAAUGGCUCACCAAGGCGACGAUCAGUAGCUGGUCUGAGAGGAUGAUCAGCCACAUUGGGACUGAGACACGGCCCAAACUCCUACGGGAGGCAGCAGUGGGGAAUAUUGGACAAUGGGCGCAAGCCUGAUCCAGCCAUGCCGCGUGAGUGAUGAAGGCCCUAGGGUUGUAAAGCUCUUUUGUGCGGGAAGAUAAUGACGGUACCGCAAGAAUAAGCCCCGGCUAACUUCGUGCCAGCAGCCGCCGCGG